rfam:Cajanus cajan Scaffold132190_12, whole genome shotgun sequence.
GGUCCAAUGCCACGUCGCUGGUAGCUACAAAUGAGCAUUGACCAGCGAUGCUAUGAUUGGACCAAAAACAAGAGUGAAUUUAAUUCGUUUCGCAUCCUGAUAGGAACCUGCGGGUCUCAUACCUUAUGAUCUGCGGAGCCGAUUUAUGCGAUUACAUUU